rnacentral:rRNA from 1 species
AAUACAUUUUUACAAUACUGUGAACAAACCAGAGUGUAUAAAACAUGUAAUAUAUUAUAAUAUUUAGCAAUGAAUGUUUUAUCAUGGAAUAUUGCUUUUUAAUAUAAUAUCGAUGGAGAUAGUUGGAGUUAAGAGUACUGAUAGGCGAGCGGUGAAAUGCAUUGACCCUAUUAAGACUAACAAAAGCGAAAGCACUUAACUAGAUUAUUCUCUUUGUAUUAUUACAAUGAAGAGCGAAGGUUGGGGGAACAAAGAGGAUCAGAUACCCUCGUAGUCCUAUUUUUACAUCAAACUAUGGGAUUUCAAUCACACUUAUGUUCUACAAUAUUUUUUAUUAUAUAUAAUUGAGUACUUAAUUGUUUACUCUUAUAUUUAAUAUUAUUAUUUUUAUUAUUCAUUAUAUGUACUUUGAGCUCAUAUAAUUAUAUAGGUGAGAUGUAAGCAUUAUAGGUGAAUAAUAUAUAAGUAAUGUUAUAUUAUUAUGAUCCUUAUUUAUAAAAAUGUAAUGUGAUG